UACAGAGGGUGCGAGCGUUAAUCGGAAUUACUGGGCGUAAAGCGUGCGUAGACGGUUGCGUAAGUCGGAUGUGAAAUCCCCGGGCUCAACCUGGGAAUUGCAUUCGAGACUGCGUAGCUGGGGUGCGGAAGAGGGAAGCGGAAUUUCCGGUGUAGCGGUGAAAUGCGUAGAUAUCGGAAGGAACAUCAGUGGCGAAAGCGGCUUCCUGGUCCAGCACCGACGUUCAGGCACGAAAGCGUGGGGAGCAAACAGG
rnacentral:rRNA from 1 species